GCGACCGCUGUGGGAGUCCGAUUAAGCCAUGCGAGUCGAGAGAAUAAGAUUCUCGGCAUACCGCUCAGUAACACGUGGAUAACUGCCCUGUGCUGGGGGAUAACCUCGCGAAAGUGAGAACAAUACCCCAUGGACCACCAUGCCUGGAACGGUUGGUGGUUGAAAGCUCCGGCGGAGUAGGAUGGGUCUGCGGCGUAUCAGGUUGUAGGGGGUGUAAUGUACCUCCUAGCCAUUGACGCGUACGGGUUGUGAGAGCAAUCGCCCGGAGAUGGAUUCUGAGACACGAAUCCAGACCCCACGGGGUGCAGCAGGCGCGAAAACUUGACAAUGCGAGCAAUCGUGAUCAGGGGACUCCAAUUGGAUCAAUUAAUUUUGAGCUCUGAACCGACUCUAAAUAGGUCGGGUAAUAGGGGCGGGAAAUAUCGGUGCCAGCCGCCGCGGUAAUACCGAAGCCCCAAGUGGUCGUCGUUAUUAUUGGGCCUAAAACGUCCGUAGCCGGUUUGGUACAUUCGUGGGUAAAUCAGACAGCUUAACUGUCUGAAUUCUGCGAGGACGGCCAAACUUGAGACCGGGAGAGGUGUGGGGUACCUGCGGGGUAGGGGUAAAAUCCUGUCAUCCCGUAGGGACCACCUGUUGCGAAGGCGCCACACUAGAACGGAUCUGACGGUCAGGGACGAAGCCUAGGGGCACGAACCGGAUUAGAUACCCGGGUAGUCCUAGGUGUAAACGCUGUGGACUUGGUGUCGGGGAUCUCUAGAGGAUUCUCGGUGCCGUAGUGAAGAUGUUUAGUCCACUGCCUGGGGAGUACGGUCGC
rnacentral:rRNA from 1 species